CGAAGAGAUACUUGGAAUUAAAGUUCAAGGAAUUUAAAUUUUUAUGAACUACAAUUAUUGAAAAGAAGAAAUGCCAAUUAAUCAAAUAGAAUGAUCUAUACCUAAUUAUACACAAGAAAUGAAUAGCUACGUAUUAGCUAUUCUAAAGGAAAGAGUCUACAAGUUUGACUCUAGCUAGAAAUGGUAAUGGAAUCAAGGAAAGCUUGAGCAUGAGUCAUCUUCUCUUCCCUUCUCGAUUUUAAGACAACCACAAGAUGCCAAUUUCCACCUUGCAACCUGCCAAGAUACACCAAAAUGGUUAGAUUUCUCCUGCCAAAGAAUCAAACGAAAAUAAAAUCUCUUUGCAAAAAUAGAGGUAAUGAGCAGGUUGUAGUAAGCAAGCUGCCAAGACAGCCUUUACUCUCCAAGUAUCACACAAAUGGGAAGCAUCAAAUAAAAUAAAAUCUCUUUGCAAAAAUAGAGGUAAUGAGCAGGUUGUAGUAAGCAAGCUGCCAAGACAGCCUUUACUCUCCAAGUAUCACACAAAUGGGAAGCAUCAAAUAAAAUAAAAUCUCUUUGCAAAAAUAGAGGUAAUGAGCGAGUAAAAAUUUAGUGGUCAAGGCAUACCACAUGGCAAUAUGAUAUGGUAUGUCCCACUAAUAAUACUUUGACAAAUGGAUUUAUAGAAGUCCAACUAAAUACUUUCAUCCUUUUCUAAAAAUGGACAUUAUUAUAAAAUUUGGAAAGUCCAAAAAUUAAUACCACCUAUAUAAUGAAUACAUGUAUAACACACUUAUAUAUUUUGUUACCAAAUUAGUUGUCAAUAAGAAUGCAGACGAGUAUUUAAUAUAACAAAAUUAAGGUCAUUUGCCACCUUUAUGUUUAAUAGUAUAAUUAUUCAUAUAUGUGCAAUGGUAAAAUAAUAUAAAAAUGAAACUAUAUAAUUAUUCCUAAUUUCGCAUAGUUAAUGUAAUGCCACUGAAUUUUAUUUAUAAUUUAAUUUAUAGUUACAUUUUUUAUUUGUGAUUUUUCGCACAGUUAGUGUAAUGCUAACUUAAAUUUGUUGUUUACUUUAUUUCUUGUUUUAUAUGUAUGCAAAAAAUUACAAAUGAUUACCAUAACCUUAAACUAAAUCAUAAACAAAAUUUGUUAGCAUUAUAUUAAACGUAUGUAACUAUGAUUGAUUAUAUAGUUUCAUUUUUAUACUUAUUUUACCAUUGUUAAAGACUAUAUGAAUAAUUAUAUUAAAUAUAUAAGUAGCUAAUAAUAAGAAAAUGACAUAAAAGUUAAUUUUAUUAUAUUAAAUUAUCAUUGACAUACCAUAAAAAACUCUAAAAAUCAAAAUAUAAUAAGUUAAUUACUACAUAUAUUUUGUAUAUUAAAUUAUUCUUAGAAUUAGAAAUAUAAAAGGACGAAAUAAAUUUUGCUAGUUCAUAGUGGAAGUAUUUUGGUCAAAUAUAAAUGCAUUCAUUAUAUUAAAUAUAAGUACUCUUAAUUUUUGGAUAGUUUCCGAAUUUUAUAAUAAUGUCCAUUUUUAGAAAAAGAUGAAAGUAUUUAGUUGGACUUCUAUAAAUCCAUUUGUCAAAGUAUUAUUAGUGGGACAUACCACAUCACAUUGCCAUGUGGUAUGCCUUGACCACUAAAUUUUUGCUCGUAAUGAGCAGGUUGUAGUAAGCAAGCUGCCAAGACAGCCUUUACUCUCCAAGUAUCACACAAAUGGGAAGCAUCAAAUAGGACUUGAAGAAAGCCUCUGCAAUAUUUUGCUCAACACCAAAUAGGAACAAGUGGCAUGGUGUUUUGAGUUCCCUAGGAUAACCAAAAGAGGAAAAAACUCAUCCAUAGCAGGGAAUCAAAUAAAGGUGAGAUAAGCAAGAUCUCUCCCAUCCCAAGACUUACACAAAGGAUGCAAGAGGCCUUUUGUCAUGCUAAAAUGGGAAGGAACCCAUAGCUAGAAAUACAGGAGCAUCCUUCUCAAUGUAGUAAAGUUUUUAUCUCAAAUUCAAAAGAGAAGGAAUCUUUAUCCCAAAUUAGCCACAAAAGGCCAAGGAGUUUGGCUAUAAAUAUCAGCCCACCACCACCUCCUUCCUCACACCUCUUUAUAUUCACAAGAUAUAAGAAGUGCAACAAGAGAGGAAGGAAUGGCGGCGAGCUUAAGGGCAGUCUGGCGUUCGAAGGAGUCAUCGAAAAAGAGGUUAUCUUCGCAAGUUAAGGACGGAGUGAUGAGAAUUCAAGUUAAGGAGUUUUAAGCAAACGAAGUGGGCUUUCUGUUUAUGAUACAGUUUUGUGAGAAGUAUGUUUUGUGGGGUUUUGUUAAAGUUACAGUUUUUACGAGAAGUACUUUGUGGAAUUUCUUUUAAAAUUUAGAAAAUAACUUUAAAGUAUGUUUAUAGUUUUUAUGAGAAGUGUUUUUGUGGGCUUUCUAUUUAAGGUAUGAUGUUAAGUGCGAGCUUGCUAUUUAAUGUGCAACAUUAUGAAAAGUGCUA